rnacentral:lncRNA from 1 species
AUUUUUCAAAUCGGACCAGACCUGAACCUAAAAACGAACCUAAAAUUUCAUAUUGACUUGGUCCGACCCAUGAUUAGUGAUAAAGAAUGAGGUGGAUAAAUGUGGAAGCGGAUCGUAAAGUUUGUCAAAGUUGCGGAUUUGGCUUAGGGCUCUAGACGUUCAGAAAGAAACGUGGAUUUUGACACAACCUGAAAUGAAAUCGAAUCCAAGUAAGAUAAAACAAUUAAAAUAAAUAGCUAAAAUAAAAUAAUAAAUCAAAUAUUAGAAUAAUAAGGAAGCAAAUAAAGAAGAUAAAUGAAAAGAUAGAACGUGGCAUGUAGAAGUCCUAAAAAGCCUUGGAAAUACGAAAAAUCCACAACCUCCUUCAAGCGGCGCUAAUUUCCCCUCUAAGAAAGAAAACUUGGUAAGAAAAAGUUUGAAGAUAAUUCCCACAAUCUAAAAAGAUUGUUAAAACUCUUCUAAAAGAAACUUAAGAGAAAUUCUUUAAAAAAAGAAAACUCAAAAAGAAUUUAAAAACUUAAAAGAGAAGUUGAAUAAUAAUGAAUGUUAUGAAUUGUAUACAAUGCAAAUGCCUAUAUAUAGGCUAGUUAAAUAAAUCUAAAUAAAACUAGAAUCCUAAUUUAAUCUAAACAAGAAGUAGUUUCAAACUAAACUUUCUUAUUAACAUAAAACUCCUAAAUAACUUAAAAAUAUUUAAUAAUUAUAAAAAAUUAGAAUAAAUUAAUAAUAAAAUAAUAAAAGCUGAUAAAUAAAAUAUUGGGCUCGUAUAAUAAAAAUUAAGUCUAAAACCCGAGCCCAAUAUGAUUUAAACUCGAAUUAAAAGCUUGAAACUUGCAAUUCCCGUCAUAAUCCCGUUUAGAAAUUCUGCUCACGCAGUCUUCACUAAAACAGUCAUAACUUGAGCUCUCGAACUCAAAAUCGAGUGAUUUAAAAUGCUUUUCAAAGCUAAAAUAUAUAUUUUCAGACGCCAUGAAGACAUCUCAACCCAGAAAUGCCAGGAUUCCAUCCAAAAAGUCGUUGCAAGUUUGUUGGUUUUCCAAGCCUGAAAAUUGGCAACUUUGGUGAUUUGAACUUAAUAAAUUUCACCCCAUCUAUACAUUUAUUAUGCUCCCUUUCCUCAAAAAGAUUUGUCAUCGAAUCUUAUCUUUGAUUGAAUUUUGAUUUGAUUUACUUAGCUUUUGACAUUGUUAUUGGGCCUUGAAGUAGUAUGAACCCAUCACAUUCAUGGGUUUAAUGACAUGUAAGAAGAAGAUGAAAUGCGGAGAAGUUUCUCCACUUUUUUUUAUCUAAAAUAUCUAAAUUAAAUAAUAAAAUAAUAAAAUAAAUUAAAUAAGAUAUUACAACACAAUAUCUAUAAAAUCUAUCCAUCAUUUUAUAAUUUAUGUCUUAAGAUUUAUUAUCUAUUUCUCAUGAAAUUCUUAUGUAGAUAAUUCAUGUCAAUAUUUAUUUUAUAUAAUAAUAUAAAAUAAAUUAUUAUAACAUGAUAAAAAUAUCGAUCCAUCAAAUUCUAUUGCUAGGAUCAAUUCAUCAAUUUCUUAUAAGACUCAAUGGUUGAAAUCAUGACAACAAUUUCACUAUUUUUUUAUUUAAAAUUUCAAUAAUUGUCUUUAUCACUUGUUGAUAAUUACACUCUAUGUCCUCGUACAUUUUUCACUAAUUCAAUGUAAUUCUUUUAUACUUUAAAUUUUACACUUUAACCCCAACGUAUUAGUUUUUUUAACUUUUUCUCUUAUCUUCUAUUACCUUCUUUAUUAAUACAAAUAAUUCAUAUUUUAUUUAUUAGGAAAAACUUGACUUGUAUUUUCCCAAAGUAACAUGAUUAUGACCAAAGAAGUUUUGAGGACGUUACAUUAUCAGUCCGUCUAAUGGUUUAAUUAGUUUAUUGUAAUAAAAAAUUUUGAAAAGAAAAGAAAAUAAGGUAAAAAUUUAGAAAAUAAGAAAAAUGUAGAAGGAUUGUAAAAAUUUUAUAAACACAUUUAAAUAAAAAUAAUAUUGUAAAUUAACAAAUAGACCAUAACCCAAAACUCAAUUUUUGUGCUAAAAAAGAGAUACAAGAAAUCUCGCCUUUGGUGGAGGGACGGCGGAAGAAGCAGAUCUAAAGGCUUGAUGGGGGAGGGUGCCUAGGUGGGGGUGGGCCACGGGUUAGAUAUUUAGUAGUUUAUUAUUAUUAUUAUUAUUAUUAUUAUUAUUAUUAUUUCAUUUAUUUUUAUUUUUAUUAUUGGGCUGAAUUCAAAAAAUUGGGCUUUUGAAAAUUGGGUCGAGGCUUCUUACCUGGCUUAGCCCAGCCUGAAGAAGCUCAAUUUUUUACUGAUUAUUUUGGUCUGUAGUUCAACUGCGAUUUUUCUCGGUUCUCAAUCCAAAUGAUUCUUUUUCUAGUUUCCAGACUGAUUAUCUGCCUAAUUUCAAACAUCUUUGCAAAUAAUAAUCAAUAUCUUAUAUAUAUAUAUAUUUAAUUUCAUCAAAUUUUAUUUUAUUCUUCUAAUUUUUAAAUUUUAUGUUUUGAUUCUUUUCCACAUUUUUACAUUCACAAUUUUUUAGAUUGUUUGCUUUUAUUUGACUCAUUUUCAUAUUUCUAUAAAUAAUUCCUUGUGUUCAAUCUUAAAAUCGUGCGAAAUGCAUUACACCUGCUACUUAUACAAUCUUUUAUUUGGACAAAAAGUAAUCAAAACAUAUAUUUAAAAGAUUUUAACAAAUAGUAAAAAAACUGUGGGCAAAACAAAAUAAGAAUAUCAUGGAUGGUACUUCAUUAUCCGGGGCAAAGAAAAAAUGCAACAUAUGUUGAUGGUAAAUGAUAAGUUUCAUCAAUAUGUUAAGGGCUUAAUCCUUAAUAAAGAAAAAACAUUAUAGCAUAUUGAUAAUAAAUUUUAUCACAGUUAAGCACAACAUAUCUAGGGUGAUUGUAAGUACCUAUAAUGAAAAGAAAACAAACUCUGAAAGAUUCAAAACAGCAGGCAAAAUCAUCAAAAGAACUGAGUAUCCACCAUACUAGAGAUGACUACGACACAUCCAUCCUUAAAAACUUACAAAAACAAGACUACUUACAUAAGCAAAAUUAAAACUUGUACAAAACAAAACAAAAAACUUUAACCAUUUUCAUGAGAAAAAGGAAGACUUAUUAAACAAUAAGAAACAAUAAAAAAAUCAUAUAAAAUUUAAGACAAUACGAGUCUAAACAAAUAAAUAAAACCAUUUAUUAUUUUCAAAUACUGUCAACACAAAAAAGAUAAAAAAUUAAAAAUUAAAAAAACAACAACAACUAAGAACCGCCAAUUGCAUAUCAAGAAACUAAAUAAAUCAAAACAAACUCAUAAAAUUAUUUAUUAUUUCAAAAUAGGCUCAAAACAUAAAUGGAUAAAAAAAAUAAUAUCCAUCAUUUGAAUAUCAACUAAACUAAUAUCAAAAUUAAAUAAAAAGCCAAAAAAACUACACCAUUCGAAUGUGAACAAACACUAUAAGAAAUUAAUAAUAUAUCCCAUUUAGUUGUAAAGAGUAAAACAUAGAUUUAGCUGUCAAUGCAAUUUUUAGUAUCCCUCCCUACCAUACAAAAUUACAAAAUAUUAUCACAAGGAUUAGUUCUUUGACCUCAAUGCAUACCAAUAUGUUUGAAGCCUAGACCUAGUAUUGUUUAAUUAUUAUUAUUAUUGGCAAAAAAAAGAAAAGAAAGGUCUGAUUCAGCGCUCACUAAGACCAGCAUUUAUCACACACAUAUAUUUUAAAAUACAAAGAAUCACUUGGGAUUUUGGCAAUUGUCUAUAUUACCUUUUUAGAUUUUACCCUUUUACCCUUUUAUUAUUUUAUUUUGUUCUGUUUUUGAGUGACCAAAUAAUUGUGAAUCGAAUGGACUAUAUUUAACCUCAUAAUUUCUAAAUUCUAAACGAUAAUCUUAAUAAUAAAGCUUGUGAAAAGCUCAUCAUUUUAUUCCCUAUAUCUGUUUUACGAUUUAUAUUCGGGGUUUGUGAUUAUCUCUUUCAAUGAUAUUCUUUUCGAAGUUCAAACUCAUAUUUUCUUUUCGAAAUACAAUGUGUUUUACCACUACACUCAACACUUUGGUUCAACCAAUGUUUUUCAAGAUCAAACCACUAGUUCAUCGAUCUAACCACUUCAACCAGGUUUUUAGCUUGUUCAAUCAGUUCGUACCAAUUCUCGAUAUAACUAAUUUAAAGCCACUAAUCGAACUGAUCCCUCGUUCAAUUCCCAAUCCAACCGGUUCGAUCGACUGAUCUAGUUCAAACAGCAUUGGUUCAAACCCUCCCUCAUUAAUCACUAUUAGCUAGGUUGGUUAGUAACAGUUUCCAUCUAGUUGUACUCAAGUUCUUAAUCAAUCAAGCAUUCUUCUCAAGGUUUAUUCAUAGAAAAGAGUGUGUUUAUUCUUACUUUGUGUAAAUUCUUUCAUGGUAUCAGUUGCCCUUUCUUGGGGUGUUUUCCGCUGUACUCAAUGGCUGCAACUUCGCCUGAUGUAUCCACCAAUGACGCGAUGUCUCCAAAAACCUCUGCUCUUGUUCACAGUUAUCAUCGCCAUGUUUUUCUAAUAGAGAAAGGUCUUCCCGCGUUGUUCAAUUCUUUCCUAAACAUGACAUAGUAAAGCUUACGAAAAUAAUUUUGUCCAAUGGCAAUUUCAACUAAAGCUAAUUAUUGAUGGAUAUGCUCUUACCGAUUAUGGCAAUGGUACUAUUUUGAUCUAGUCCCGAUUCAUGCCGGAUCAAGAAGGAAAGUUAAUCUCUAACGUGGACUUUGUAGCUUAUCAUCAACAAGAUAAGCUCUUUGCCUCUUGGCUCUUAUCCACGGUUAGUGGCAAUCUUUUGUCGUGUUUUACAGGUGCUAACACCACCCAUGACAUUUGGAGCAAAAAGUGCCACUUGUUUGCGGCAAAUUCUAGUGCCAAGAUUUCUUGGUUAAAACAUGAGCUUCAUUCAUUAAAGAAAGGGCACAUGAUAGUAAAGGAAUAUUUACCCAAGAUUAAGAGUACCCGUGAUCUCCUUAAUGCUUAUGGCCAUCUCGUCUCCGCUAAUAAGCAAGUCGAUAUAUUCCUUGCUGGUUUUUCGAUAGAAUUUGAUUCGGUCCUUACUUUUGCGAGUCCAUACUUUUGCGACUUUUUUACCGGAACCUUUAACGAUGAAUCGCCUUGUGGAUAUAUUGUUAGAGUGUGAAAGUCAACAGCGAAGGUUUGUUUCAGAGAUCCCUCUCAAGGGAUUUGACUAUCGCUCCUCUGACAAUUUUGGUAUUUGAGUCUUGGUCAACAAGCUUGUUCUCUCAUAAUGGUCGUAGUUCUCAAUGCAGUCGUGGCCGAAGCAACCGUGGUCUCCCUCAGUGUCAGAUUGCAGUCGUCUUAGACAUCUAGCUCAACGAUGAUAUUAUAGGUUCGACGAUUCGGUUGAUGGUCCUCCGACGUUGCUCUUUCAUCUUUUGCCUUCGUCUCCCUUGUGGUGUCCUGAAAGGGUUUUGAUGGCUGUCCCGAACCCUAUUCCAUUCUCUGC